CUGCUUGACUAGCUGAGAGGAGGUGCAUGGCCGUCGUCAGUUCGUACUGUGAAGCAUCCUGUUAAGUCAGGCAACGAGCGAGACCCACGCCAACAGUUGCCAGCAUGUCCUCCGGGAUGAUGGGGACACUGUUGGGACCGCCUCUGCUAAAGAGGAGGAAGGAAUGGGCAACGGUAGGUCAGCAUGCCCCGAAUUAUCCGGGCUACACGCGGGCUACAAUGGUCAGGACAAUGGGUAUCGACACCGAGAGGUGGAGGCAAUCUCCUAAACCUGUCCUUAGUUCGGAUUGUGGGCUGCAACUCGCCCACAUGAAGCUGGAAUCCGUAGUAAUCGCGUUUCAAAAUAGCGCGGUGAAUAUGUCCCUGCUCCUU
rnacentral:rRNA from 1 species